AUGAAGGCAACAGUAAAAUCCUCCGGAUCAGAACUCCCAGGUGACCCUCCGAAGUAGAAGACUCACUGGCCUACAUGCUGAAGCUGUGAGUUUGCAAACUGCAUUUGCCAAGCACCCUGGCCAGUGGGUUUCCUAUUAGAUUCAGACAGUGAGAGGUGCUGGCUGCAGACUGCCCGGCAGGGGAGAGAAACAGGAGGUCUGUGCCUCUGACAGUGGUGAAGCUGCUGGAUAGAGCUGGGCAUAUCAUCAGGGGAUUGCAGAUUCCAGGGGCUGGAGUAGAAGCAGACUCUUUUGUAGCUUCAGCCAUGGCCCACACGGUGCCCUGGGGAGAGACUCAGGAUUGGCUGCUAGAAGUGUCUCUAAAAGCUCAGUAACAGAGGUAGACCUGAGGACUUCAGUUCCAUGGUGUCAGUGUGUCCUGCUCUCCAGGAGAUGCUGUGAAAUGUUAAGUAAGGAACUCGAAGCACCUAGCACAGAAAACUCACUUUGGAGCCCUGAUCCAUCACAUAAGAAAUGCAGCUGUUCUGAAGCCUCCAUGCCUCUCCCCAACACCAUAGAUGGGAAAUUCUCCAAAGAAGGAAAAACUGGCUUUGGAAGAGAAUGGUCAUUACCCAGGAACUUCAUUUUGAUGUGACAUCCUCUGUUCUGGAUACAGGCACACGAUGGGCACUGGUCCUUCGGCAGUUUAUUAUUUGACAACUGGUGAUAAUCCAAGACUCAGACUUCUGCUGGUGCUCUCCCCCACUGCCCAUCUGUCUGCAUUCCAAUGUCCAUUACCAUCAUCCCCAGAGGUCAGCCCAGAAAAUUGUGCAACCAGCCUUGGUGAGGAACAAAGUCGGGGUGGCUAAGAUGAGUGCUUCCAAAGGCAGUUGAUGGCCUACGAGGAGCUUUGUCAGCAUCCACAGAGGCAUUGACCCAAAGUAGACAUAAUGAUUUCUCCAAAAUGCACACAUUGUGGGUGCCAAUGAGCCAGUGUUAUUCUUACUUCUCUU